AAACACUUUCCCCCCGAUUGUCUGGAUAAUAAGUUAACAGUUUGUAAAAGGCACAGAUCCCUUUUCACAGAAAGAUCAGUAUUGUUUGUUUAUUACAUGUGCCGGCCUGCGUACAGUACGUGUUCAGAGGACAGUGCAUGCUAUAUACAACCCCAUGUACUAUAUACAAUGAUCCUAUUUAAUGCAGAGGGCUAGUGUAGGGACUAUCUGCUCACUUUGCUCAUCUCAGAACCUACACUCUCACUCCUAAAGGUGAGGUUUCCUCAGAGAGUGGAUGCUUAGUGACUCACCAUGAGGCUCACACUAAAAAGUUUUUUCUUACAAGGAGAUUGAGUCUUUACUAACCAAGGACUCUUUCUUUGGAAACCUGUUAAUGUGGAAGAAGAUAAUGCAUACUAAUGCAUGUACAGGCACACAGUCAUAUAAUUACACAUGCACACACAAUCAUAAUCACACAGGCACACAGUCAUAUAAUUACAUAGGCACACAGAGUCAUAUAAUUACACAUGCACACACAGUCAUAUAAUUACACAGGCACACACAGUCAUAUAAUUACAUAGGCACACACAGUCAUAUAAUUACACAUGCACACACAGUCAUAUAAUUACACAGGCACACAGUCAUAUAAUUACAUAGGCACACACAGUCAUCUCAUCGUAUACACACAUAUGACACAUGCAUACUGUGACACAUACAGGUACAAAUCCACUCACAUAACACAAGCAUAUGACACACAAAUGUACAUGACACGCAUGCAUAUGCACACAAAGGCAUUUAAUGUCAUUCCUAUAUGCAUACACACACUGAAGAACAUGCACAGAAAUACAGACAAAUUCGCAAACCACAAACACAUCCCGAAACACAUACAGGCGCACACACGAUCAUAUAUACACUAACAAAAUUAAACAUCCAAAUACUUGUGUGUGACAAUGUAAUGGUCAAUACACCCCAUUACUGUAAAACAUUAAAGGGACACUAUAGUCACCAGAACAACUACAGCUUAUUGAAUUUGUUCUGGUGAGUAGAGUCAUUACCUUCAGUCUUUUUUGCUGUAAACAGUGUUUGUUUCAGAGAAAAUGCAGUGUUUACAUUACAGCCUAGUGAUACCUCCACUGGCCACUCCUCAGAUGGCUGCUAGAUGUGCUUCCUGGGGCAAUGCUGCACAGUGUGACUGACAGUCAGUGUCUCCACCAUCUGCAUGCAGACACUGAACUUUCCUCAGAGAUGCAUUGAUUUAAUGUAUCUGUAUGAGGAGAUGCUGAUUGGCCAGGGCUGUGUUUGGCUUGUGCUGGCUCUGCCACUGAUCUGCCUCCUUGACAGUCUCAGCCAAUCCUAUGGAGAAGCAUUGUGAUUGGCUCAGACCACCACUUCUGA